rnacentral:rRNA from 1 species
UACAGAGGGGGCAAGCGUUGUUCGGAAUUACUGGGCGUAAAGGGCGCGUAGGCGGCCGCCUAAGUCAGACGUGAAAUCCCUCGGCUCAACCGGGGAACUGCGUCUGAUACUGGGUGGCUUGAAUCCGGGAGAGGGAUGCGGAAUUCCAGGUGUAGCGGUGAAAUGCGUAGAUAUCUGGAGGAACACCGGUGGCGAAGGCGGCAUCCUGGACCGAUACUGACGCUGAGGAGCGAAAGCCAGGGGAGCAAACGGG